rnacentral:misc_RNA from 1 species
CGCGUUAUCAAAGAUUACUCAAAAAGUAGUUAUCAGUUCUCAAUAAAAUUUAUAUGUGACCACAUGACAAACAUCAGCUUUCGAUUAAAUUAAAAAUUAUUAAAAUCGGUACACCCAGUAAAAAGUUAUUGCGGAUUUUCAAGAGUUUCCCUCGAUUUAUCUGGGAUCCCAUCAUCAGAUCCUAGUUUCCUUAUCAUGGUACCAAACUAGGGAUAUCUCCUUUCCAACAAAAAAAGAAUUAUCAAAAUCGGUACAUCCAGUAGAAAGUUAUGUGGUAUAAUACAAUGUAGGUCGACGAAAAAAGCGUCAAGUAAAAACGCAUUAUUAGAUAUAACUCGAAAAGUAGUUGUUAGAUCUCAAAUAAAUUUAAAUGGGACCAAUCGGCACACACCACCUUUCGAUUAAAACAAAAUUUGUCGAAAUCGGUCUACCCGGUCAAAAGUUCUGAUGUAACAUACAUAAA